UAUCUGAACCCACCCAUGCCAGACAAGCUCACACGUGCCCCUUUUCUUGCAGCCACAACAACAGCCCCAUCUGUCUAUCCACUGGCUCCUGCAUGUGGAACCACUACUGGUUCCCCAGUGACUCUGGGAUGCCUGGUCAAGGGCUAUUUCCCCGAGCCGGCAACCAUAACCUGGAACUCUGGAUCCCUGACCAGCGGUGUGCACAUCUUCCCAUCUGUCCUGCAUUCUGGUCUCUACUCCCUCAGCAGCUCAGUGACCGUGUCCUCCUGGCCCAGCCAGUCUGUCGUCUGCAACGUAGCCCACCCGGCCAGCAACACCAAGGUGGACAAGAAAAUUGAGCCCAGACGACGACCACCAACAAAUCCAAGUGAUGUGUGCGAGUGUCUACCACCUGAUCUCACGGGUGGACCAUCCGUCUUCAUCUUCCCCCCAAAGCCCAAGGAUGUGCUCAUGGUCUCCCUGGCCCCCAAGAUCACGUGUGUGGUGGUGGACAUUAGCCAGGAUGAUCCCGAUGUCCAGUUUAGCUGGUUUAUAGAUGACAUAGAAGUACACACAGCUCAGACGGAACCCCGGGAGGAGCAGUUCAACAGCACCUUCCGCGUAGUCAGUGUCCUCCCCAUCCUGCACCAGGACUGGUUGAAUGGCAAGGAGUUCAAAUGCAAGGUCAACAGCGCGGCCUUCCCCGCCCCCAUCGAGAAAACCAUCUCCAAGAAGAAAGGGCAAAUCCGGGCUCCACAAGUAUACGUCAUGCCACCGCCCAAGGAGCAGAUGACCAAGAAUCAAGUCUCUGUCACCUGCAUGGUAACAGGCUUCUACCCUAGUGACAUUGAUGUGGAAUGGCAGAAGAAUGGACAGCCAGAGCAGAACUACAAGAACACCCUGCCUGUCUUGGAUGAGGAUGAGACUUACUUCCUCUACAGCAAGCUCAAUGUAAAGAGGAGCGAUUGGGAGGCACAGAAUACUUUCACCUGCUCUGUGGUCCACGAGGCCCUGCACAACCAUCACACAGAGAAGAUUCUCUCCCACGCUCCUGGUAAAUGAGCUUAGAGUCCUGUGAGCCCUCUGGUCCUAAGAGAUAUUGGUACCUACCUCCACCCCUUCCCUGUGUAAAUAAAGCACCCAGCACUGCCCUGGGACCCUGCAAAAA